CGAGGGAUCAGACCCGAAACCGAGUGAUCUAGGCAUGUCCAGGAUGAAGGUAAGGUAACACUUACUGGAGGUCCGAACCCACAUCUGUUGAAAAAGAUCGGGAUGAGGUGUGCCUAGGGGUGAAAGGCCAAUCAAACUCGGAGAUAGCUGGUUCUCUGCGAAAUCUAUUUAGGUAGAGCGUCGUCUGAAUACCCUCGGGGGUAGAGCACUGAAUGGGUAAUGGGGGCCCACAGCCUUACUGAUCCUAAUCAAACUCCGAAUACCGAGGAGUACUAGACGGCAGACACACAGCGGGUGCUAACGUCCGUCGUGGAGAGGGAAACAACCCUGACCUACAGCUAAGGCCCCUAAUUCAUGGCUAAGUGGGAAAGCAGGUGGGACGACCAAAACAACCAGGAUGUUGGCUUAGAAGCAGCCAUCAUUUAAAGAAAGCGUAAUAGCUCACUGGUCUAGUAGAGAUCCUGCGCCGAAAAUGUAACGGGGCUCAAGCCACGUGCCGAAGCUGCGGGUGGACAACAUCCUAGCGGAUGUGUCUGCGGUAGCGGAGCGUUCCGUAGGCCUGUGAAGGAGGAUGGGGUGACCCCCUCUGGAGGUAUCGGAAGUGCGAAUGCUGACAUGAGUAGCGUUAAAGGGGG
rnacentral:rRNA from 1 species